rnacentral:misc_RNA from 1 species
GUACCCUCACACUUCUGGUCUUUGGGCUGGGAGCGGUGGACUUGGGUGUUGCUGCUUUACCGUGGCUCACCUUAAAUGCAUUAGUGCAUCUCCAGAUUGGACAUAGUACAGCGUGAUAAAUAUCUUCGCUGGCGCCUCGCUUCAGAGGGUGGCUGAUCCAGAGCUCUGUGCUUUCAAACCGUCUUCGGACAAUAACUGACA